rnacentral:rRNA from 1 species
GAUGAACGCUGGCGGCGUGCCUAAUACAUGCAAGUCGAGCGAACAGACGAGGAGCUUGCUCCUCUGACGUUAGCGGCGGACGGGUGAGUAACACGUGGAUAACCUACCUAUAAGACUGGGAUAACUUCGGGAAACCGGAGCUAAUACCGGAUAACAUGUUGAACCGCAUGGUUCAACAGUGAAAGACGGUUUUGCUGUCACUUAUAGAUGGAUCCGCGCCGCAUUAGCUAGUUGGUAAGGUAACGGCUUACCAAGGCAACGAUGCGUAGCCGACCUGAGAGGGUGAUCGGCCACACUGGAACUGAGACACGGUCCAGACUCCUACGGGAGGCAGCAGUAGGGAAUCUUCCGCAAUGGGCGAAAGCCUGACGGAGCAACGCCGCGUGAGUGAAGAAGGUCUGCGGAUCGUAAAACUCUGUUAUUAGGGAAGAACAAAUGUGUAAGUAACUAUGCACGUCUUGACGGUACCUAAUCAGAAAGCCACGGCUAACUACGU